rnacentral:rRNA from 1 species
UACAGAGGUGGCAAGCGUUGUUCGGAAUUACUGGGCGUAAAGGGCGCGUAGGCGGCCUGCUAAGUCGAACGUGAAAUCCCCGGGCUCAACCCGGGAACUGCGUCCGAUACUGACAGGCUUGAAUCCGGGAGAGGGAUGUGGAAUUCCAGGUGUAGCGGUGAAAUGCGUAGAUAUCUGGAGGAACACCGGUGGCGAAGGCGGCAUCCUGGACCAAUACUGACGCUGAGGAGCGAAAGCCAGGGGAGCAAACGGG